rnacentral:rRNA from 1 species
AGAGCGAACGCUGGCGGCAUGCUUAACACAUGCAAGUCGCACGGGCAGCAAUGUCAGUGGCGGACGGGUGAGUAACGCGUAGGUAUCUAUCCAUGGGUGGGGGAUAACGCUGGGAAACUGGUGCUAAUACCGCAUGACACCUGAGGGUCAAAGGCGCGAGUCGCCUGUGGAGGAGCCUUCGUCCGAUUAGCUUGUUGGUGGGGUAAAGGCCUACCAAGGCGACGAUCGGUAGCUGGUCUGAGAGGAUGAUCAGCCACAUUGGGACUGAGACACGGCCCAAACUCCUACGGGAGGCAGCAGUGGGGAAUAUUGGACAAUGGGCGCAAGCCUGAUCCAGCAAUGCCGCGUGGAUGAAGAGGUUUUCGGAUUGUAAAGUCCUUUGGCGGGACGAUGAUGACGGUACCCGCAGAAGAAGCCCCGGCUAACUUCGUGCCAGCAGCCGC